rnacentral:snRNA from 1 species
AUACUUGCCUGGCAGGGGAGAUACCAUGAUCAUGCAGGUGGUUUUCCCUGCAUUUGGGAGGUGCUGACCCCUGCGAUUUCCCCAAAUGUGGGAAACUCGACUGCAUAAUUUGUGGUAGUGGGGGACUGCGUUUGCGCUCUCCCCUC